rnacentral:rRNA from 1 species
GACGAACGCUGGCGGCGUGCUUAACACAUGCAAGUCGAACGGACAGGCCCUGCUUUUGUGGGGUGCUCGAGUGGCGAACGGGUGAGUAACACGUGAGUAACCUGCCCUUGACUUUGGGAUAACUUCAGGAAACUGGGGCUAAUACCGGAUAGGAGCUCCUGCUGCAUGGUGGGGGUUGGAAAGUUUCGGCGGUUGGGGAUGGACUCGAGGCUUAUCAGCUUGUUGGUGGGGUAGUGGCUUACCAAGGCUUUGACGGGUAGCCGGCCUGAGAGGGUGACCGGCCACAUUGGGACUGAGAUACGGCCCAGUCUCCUACGGGAGGCAGCAGUGGGGAAUAUUGCACAAUGGGCGGAAGCCAGAUGCAGCAACGCCGCGUGCGGAAUGACGGCCUUCGGGUUGUAAACCGCUUUCGCCUGUGACGAAGCGUGAGUGACGGUAAUGGGUAAAGAAGCACCGGCUAACUACGUG